CCAGCAUCCCUUAUAUUCAUCAUUUAAAUUACGUGUGUCUAAGAACUACUGGAUUAACAUAUAAGGUACAUUAUAUAUUAAUAUGCAAUUAGGUUUUACUUAAUGAAGGUAUUAAAGUACCUUUAGUUUUCCUAUGAAAUAUCUAAUCUGUAGGCACUGGUAUACUCUCUUUAUUAGUGAAAUACAGUGAGGUGGCUGCUUUAAUUUCUUCCACACAGAGUCAUGUUAUAGUAUUACUACAUUGACACAUCUGUAAACUGGACAGAAUGAAGGUUGGACUUCCUGUGAAGCUAGAUCCACACUGUCCUAUGGGAUAGACCAGGCCAAGAACCUGCUCAGCCUUCUCAAUCUACUACAUAGCCCCUGUAUCAUUUCUUUUUGUGGUUACAAAAUUAUAAACAGACUGGAAUGGACUUUAACACCAAGGUCAAACAGCAACCACUCAACACAGAAGUUAUUACUCCUCAAGCUAAAUUCUGGUGUGUCCUUUUCAUUACACUUCAACAUUCUAAAAUAACUAAAUCUAAGGGAUGUUUAAAAGACAAAACUACCAACAAUGAGGAGCAGAAACAGGAUUUUACAACAAGCAAUCUAAUAAUAUAAAGAAAAAAUAUGUAAAUAAUUGGUCUAGGGGAAUGGAAAAUGGGAGAAAACCCUGUACUCCUUCUGAAAGAACAGUACAAAAUAAUAUUAUCUAUUUAAUAUUUGUAAGCUGUUUUCUUUGCCAACAAAGGUCCAUCUAGUCAAGGCUAUGGUUUUUCCUGUGGUCAUGUAUGGAUGUGAGAGUUGGACUGUGAGGAAGGCUGAGUGCCGAAGACUUGAUGCUUUUGAACUGUGGUGUUGGAGAAGACUCUUGAGAGUCCCUUGGACUGCAAGGAGAUCCAACCAGUCCAUUCUGAAGGAGAUCAGCCCUGGGAUUUCUUUGGAAGGAAUGAUGCUAAAGCUGAAACUCCAGUACUUUUACAACCUCAUGCAAAGAGUUGACUUAUUGGAAAAGACUCUGAUGCUGGGAGGGAUUGGGGGCAGGAGAAGGGGAUGACAGAGGAUGAGAUGGCUGGAUGGCAUCACUGACUCAAUGGACGUGAGUCUGAGUGAACUCUGGGAGUUGGUGAUGGACAGGGAGGCCUGGCGCUCCUCUAUCCAUGGGAUUUCCUACUGGAGUGGGUUGCCAUUUCCUUCUCCAGGGGGCCUUCCCAUUGGCAGGUGGAUUCUUUGCCACUGAGUCACCAAGGAAGCCCCAUAGGAAAUGUCUAAAGAGCUUUAAAAUAUGUCAAUUACAUGUAUGCAUAUCACUUAGGUAUCAUACACAUAUUAAACAUAAUAAGCAGCAAAAGACAAAUACACAUCUUUAAAUAAACUAUUUGCCAAAUUAUUCUCUAAAUGGGUAACUAGUACCUAAAAUUUUUAAAGGAGAAUAUUAGCCUAGCUGAGUCGAUAUUGAAACACUAAUAAUAUAAGGAGAUUGAAGUGGGUCACCCAAAUCUUCAGAAUAAUGUUAAUCCUAGAAAAUAUUUUAAUCAUAUAAUCUAACAUCUUAAAAGUGAGAGUCUCUUCGUCUACAAACUAAGAGUUUGUGCUGUUACAUCUCAAAAAAUAAGGAAUGUCUAUAAAGUCAGAUUAAGCUAAUAAUCCUAAAAAUAAAAUCUCUCAGUCUAGUAUAUAAGGAACUGAGGAAGGGAGAGAAUAAUAAUGUUCAAACAGGCCAAUGAUCGAUGACUAUCUGCAGAUGAAAUAUAAUGAAAUGAAGGUUUAUGGGAACUUAAAACAGAAAAAGCAAACCUCACAGAUACAUAUUUGAACCAUGACAGGUGAUUUAAGGUGAUCACAGCAGGCAGCAGGUAUAAGUCAGAACCCCAGGAAGCAUGACAGGGGAAAGCAUGUAUAAAUGAAUGCUCCCUGACUCUCAGCAUCAUUCCAACAUGUGCCAAGUUCCAAGUGCUCUAUGGUGACAUGUGGCCAGUGGCUACCAUAACUGGAGAGCAGGACUGAAGGAGAAACAAGAGUGCUGAGAGGGUAGGGAGGUUACAUUUUCUGAGAUCCAUUCCAUGCCCUAUGAAUCACAAACUCUUAGGGCAUCAGAAUAGUCACUGGAGUCUUCAUUAUUUUAACUAAAUGUAUUUGAAUUUAUGAUUUACAAAUACGGAUUAAGUAAGAAAAAACAGAAAUACAAAAAAAAUUAAUGAAGAAUUAAUCAGAAUGACAGAAAUUUUUUCAGUUGACUAUAAAGAUCUUUUUGAAAUUACUUUUAAAGUUCAAAUGAAGAAAAAUCUCUAUUCAGAAACAUCAACAGACUCGGUUUAAAGAAUAGAUGAGAAAUGAAAUCAUAAUGAAUAUUAACAGCAGCAGCUAUUAGGGCCUAUCACAAUGUAACUGCCUCUAAAAGUAGCUUCAAAAGAGAAAACACUUACUUUUCUUUGAAAGGUGGUAACUUGUUCUUUACACAAUCCCACUGAUUUGAAUCUGAACAAAGACUCACAGUGACCUCAAAGCUCAAACCAUAAGCUUCCAGGUCAGGUAGGAAUGAUCAUCACAUAACUCUGCUAAACUCCUUUGCAAAAUAGAUGGUUAUACUCUUGUAUUGUUUCGAUCAUUAAUAAUCUUUGACACUGAUUAAUCUGGAAUUCACCCACAGCUUCUAUGCACUUGUAGUAGAGACAAAGAAUCAGUGAACCUCCUUUUCUUAUAUAACUUGAGACCUUCUUAUACCCAGAAGAAGCAAAGAAAUAUUAAAACAUAUGUUCAUAUAAGAGCUGAUACAGUUGAUCUUCCAUUGUCAAGCAGAAAUCAUGCUUUCCUUGCCACCAAAAUUACAAAGGCUAAUCUAUUUAAGUCUUAAGUUUGUGUUUGUUAGUUGCUGAGUCAUGUCUGACUCUUUGCAACCCCGUGGACUGUAUUACAGCCCACCAGGUUCUUCUGUCCAUGGAAUUCUCUAGGCAAGGAUAUUGGAGUGGGUAGCCAUUCCCUUCUCCAAGGGAUCUGAAGUUUGCUGCUGCUGCUGCUAAGUCGCUUCAGUCGUGUCCAACUCUGUGCGACCCCAUAGACAGCAGCUCACCAGGCUCCCCCG
ensembl:lncRNA